rnacentral:rRNA from 1 species
UACGGAGGGGGCAAGCGUUGUUCGGAGUUACUGGGCGUAAAGGGCGCGUAGGCGGUGCAGCAAGUCAGGCGUGAAAGCCCCGGGCUUAACCUGGGAAUUGCGCUUGAUACUGCUGCGCUAGAGAUCGGGAGAGGAUGGCGGAAUUCCCAGUGUAGAGGUGAAAUUCGUAGAUAUUGGGAAGAACACCGGUGGCGAAGGCGGCCAUCUGGACCGUAUCUGACGCUGAGGCGCGAAAGCGUGGGGAGCAAACAGG